rnacentral:rRNA from 1 species
UAGUCCACACCGUAAACGAUGGAAGCUAGCUGUCAGGAUGUAUACAUCUUGGUGCGCAGCGUAACGGCGAUAAGUUGACCGCCUGGGGAGUACGGCCGCAAGGUUAAAACUCAAAUGAAUUGACGGGGGCCCGCACAAGCGGUGGAGCAUGUGGUUUAAUUCGAUGCAACGCGAAGAACCUUACCAGGUCUUGACAUCCUCGGAACUUUCCAGAGAUGGAUCGGUGCCUUCGGGAGCCGAGUGACAGGUGCUGCAUGGCUGUCGUCAGCUCGUGUCGUGAGAUGUUGGGUUAAGUCCCGUAACGAGCGCAACCCUUGUCCUUAGUUGCCAGCGCGUAAUGGCGGGAACUCUAGGGAAACUGCCGGUGACAAACCGGAGGAAGGUGGGACGACGUCAAGUCAUCAUGGCCCUUACGACCUGGGCUACACACGUGCUACAAUGGCCGGUACAGAGAGUUGCGAAGCGGCGACGUGGAGCUAAUCUCAUAAAACCGGUCGUAGUCCGGAUUGG